GGUGGGUUGGCUCAGUGGUUAGAGCGUAGGUCUCGUAACCGAAGGGUUGCGGGAUCGAAUCCCGCUAGAGGCUG
rnacentral:tRNA from 1 species